rnacentral:sRNA from 1 species
GACAGGCUGACUUUGAACUCCUGAUCCUCCUACCUCCAGAUCUGGAGUACUCUGUUAUAGCUUGUACCACCAAACUGUUUAUGUGGUCGGUGGAUCCUAGGCAUGGAACUAAGGGCUGAAGAGUUAAAAAAAAAGUCUCAGGUGAGCUGGGAAACUUUGGUCGGGGAAGCUAAGAACACUGAUAACGUCAGCAAACAAUGAGAAUCGGGGAGUUCCAGAUAAGAAGACAGCAGACCAACCUCCCAUGGUAUUUACAGCUUUGAAACAGCAGAGAAACAGAUCUGCAGAAUAAAUACGCUUUUCGAGAUGGUAAAAAUUCUUUCCAAGGGCAGCGACUUCAAGGACCUAAUCCUGGCCCACGAGGCUCCAUGUUGCCAAAGAAAUGAGAACCAGGAUCCAGGAACCUGUGGUCAGCCAACCAGAGCAGCUAAUCUGAGAACACCUUGUCAUCUGGCCUGAAGGAAGACUUGGUAGCUGGAAUGAGUAAUCAAGCCCCUGGGAAGUCUCCAGGUCUCUAGAGAUAGAGUUAACCAAUCAAGAUAGAAGGGCACGCCCUCCUCCCUGGAAUUCCCCUAACUGACAAUAAAAGCCAGGCUGCCAGUCCACUGGGUCUCCCUUCCCAGAUGGGGAGACACUGAGUGCAGGAAAUUCAGUUGAACAAACGCUUUCUGUUUUCGCAUAGUAUGAGUCUGGGGUAUCAUUUUUUUGGUGAUUCUUGGACUCUCACAACAUCACCUUCCAGCACUAUAAAAGCUAGUUACUGGGGAGAAGCUUUUUGGUCAGUACUAAUUUAAUUUCACCAUGUCCUGUGGCUAAAG